GAUGAACGCUGGCGGCGUGCCUAAUACAUGCAAGUCGAGCGAACGGACGAGAAGCUUGCUUCUCUGAUGUUAGCGGCGGACGGGUGAGUAACACGUGGAUAACCUACCUAUAAGACUGGGAUAACUUCGGGAAACCGUAGCUAAUACCGGAUAAUAUUUUGAACCGCAUGGUUCAAAAGUGAAAGACGGUCUUGCUGUCACUUAUAGAUGGAUCCGCGCUGCAUUAUCUAGUUGGUAAGGUAACGGCUUACCAAGGCAACGAUGCAUAGCCGACCUGAGAGGGUGAUCGGCCACACUGGAACUGAGACACGGUCCAGACUCCUACGGGAGGCAGCAGUAGGGAAUCUUCCGCAAUGGGCGAAAGCCUGACGGAGCAACGCCGCGUGAGUGAUGAAGGUCUUCGGAUCGUAAAACUCUGUUAUUAGGGAAGAACAUAUGUGUAAGUAACUGUGCACAUCUUGACGGUGCCUAAUCAGAAAGCCACGGCUAACUACGUG
rnacentral:rRNA from 1 species